rnacentral:rRNA from 1 species
UGGGGAAUUUUGGACAAUGGGGGCAACCCUGAUCCAGCCAUGCCGCGUGAGUGAAGAAGGCCUUCGGGUUGUAAAGCUCUUUCGGCCGGGAAGAAAUCGCAUAGGCUAAUACCCUGUGUGGAUGACGGUACCGGAAUAAGAAGCACCGGCUAACUACGUGCCAGCAGCCGCGGUAAUACGUAGGGUGCGAGCGUUAAUCGGAAUUACUGGGCGUAAAGCGUGCGCAGGCGGUUUAGUAAGACAGGCGUGAAAUCCCCGGGCUCAACCUGGGAACUGCGCUUGUGACUGCUAAGCUAGAGUACGGCAGAGGGGGGUGGAAUUCCACGUGUAGCAGUGAAAUGCGUAGAGAUGUGGAGGAACACCGAUGGCGAAGGCAGCCCCCUGGGCCGAUACUGACGCUCAUGCACGAAAGCGUGGGUAGCAAACAGG